GGGCGGUUAGCUCAGCUGGUUAGAGCGCCUGCCUUACAAGCAGGAGGUCGCAGGUUCGAGUCCUGCACUGCCCACCA
rnacentral:tRNA from 6 species